rnacentral:tRNA from 1 species
GGGCUUGAGCUCAGCUGGUUAGAGCGCACGCUUGAUAAGCGUGAGGUCGGAGGUUCAAAUCCUCCCUGGCCCACCA